rnacentral:rRNA from 1 species
AUGAUUGAAAUAAUGAAACACACAACUUUCCAGUUGGUAUAUCGCCUCAUUGAGUUCACACUCAUUCUUCCUGUAGCCAGUUCAUCAGUUGAGCAAAUAUUUUAGGCAAUGAAGGUCGUCAAGACAGACUUGCACAACAAACUAUUAGAUGAUUGGAUAAAUGAUUUAAUGGUGUGCUAUUGUGAGAAAGAGAUAUUCAGAAGCAUUCAUGGUGACAAAAUCAUGAUACAAUUUUAG